CCCAAAUAGACUUUUGACCCCAAUUUCACGAUCCACUGAACAUAGAAAAUGAAAGUGGGAGUUUCAGGUUAAAGUUUUUGGUCGAGGUAGUUUUUGAUGAAGCUGAAGUCCAAUCAACUUAAAACUUAGUACACUUUUUGCUUAUGAUAUGAUCUUUCUAAUUUUAAAGCCAAAUUAGUCUUUUGAACCCAAUUUCACGGUCAACUGAACAUAGAAAAUGAAAGUGGGAGUUUCAGGUUAAAGUUUUUGGUCAAGGUAGUUUUUGAUGAAGUUGAAGUCCAAUCAACUUGAAUCUUAGUACACAUGUUCCAUAUGAUAUGAUCUUUAUAAUUUUAGAGCAAAAUAGACUUUUGACCCCAAUUUCACGAUCCACUGAACAUAGAAAAUGAAAGUGGGAGUUUCAGGUUAAAGUUUUUGGUCAAGGUAGUUUUUGAUGAAGCUGAAGUCCAAUCAACCUGAAACUUAGAACACUUGUUGCUUAUGAUCUGAUCUUUCUAAUUUUAAAGCCAAAUAGACUUUUGACCCCAAUUUCACGAUCCACUGAACAUAGAAAAUGAAAGUGGGAGUUUCAGGUUAAAGUUUUUGGUUGAGGUAGUUUUUGAUGAAGCUGAAGUCCAAUCAACUUGAAACUUAGUACACUUGUUGCUUAUGAUAUGAUCUUUCUAAUUUUAAAGCCAAAUUAGACUUUUGACCACAAUUUCACGGUCCACUGAACAUAGAAAAUGAAAGUGGGAGUUUCAGGUUAAAGUUUUUGGUCGAGGUAGUUUUUGAUGAAGCUGAAGUCCAAUCAACUUGAAACUUAGUACACUUGUUGCUUAUGAUAUGAUCUUUUUAAUUUUAAAGCCAAAUUAGUCUUUUGACCCCAAUUUCACGGUCAACUGAACAUAAUAAAUGAAAGUGGGAGUUUCAGGUUA
rnacentral:lncRNA from 1 species